UACGUAGGUGGCAAGCGUUGUCCGGAUUUACUGGGCGUAAAGAGCGCGCAGGCGGUCGUUCAAGUCGAGUGUGAAAGCCCCCGGCUCAACUGGGGAGGGUCACUCGAUACUGAUCGACUCGAAGGCAGAAGAGGGAAGCGGAAUUCCCGGUGUAGUGGUGAAAUGCGUAGAUAUCGCGUGGAACGCCAAAGGUGAAGACAGGUGACUGGGGGUGUGCCGACGCUGAGACGCGAAAGCCAGGGGAGCAAACGGG
rnacentral:rRNA from 1 species